UACGAAGGGGGCUAGCGUUGUUCGGAAUUACUGGGCGUAAAGCGCACGUAGGCGGAUAUUUAAGUCAGGGGUGAAAUCCCGGGGCUCAACCCCGGAACUGCCUUUGAUACUGGGUAUCUUGAGUGUGGUAGAGGUGAGUGGAAUUGCGAGUGUAGAGGUGAAAUUCGUAGAUAUUCGCAGGAACACCAGUGGCGAAGGCGGCUCACUGGACCACAACUGACGCUGAGGUGCGAAAGCGUGGGGAGCAAACAGG
rnacentral:rRNA from 2 species